GAACACGUAAUUCAUUACGAAGUUUAAUUCAUUGAGCAUCAAACUUUUAAAUUGAAGAGUUUGAUCAUGGCUCAGAUUGAACGCUGGCGGCAGGCCUAACACAUGCAAGUCGAACGGUAACAGGAAGCAGCUUGCUGCUUUGCUGACGAGUGGCGGACGGGUGAGUAAUGUCUGGGAAACUGCCUGAUGGAGGGGGAUAACUACUGGAAACGGUGGCUAAUACCGCAUAACGUCGCAAGACCAAAGAGGGGGACCUUCGGGCCUCUUGCCAUCAGAUGUGCCCAGAUGGGAUUAGCUUGUUGGUGAGGUAACGGCUCACCAAGGCGACGAUCCCUAGCUGGUCUGAGAGGAUGACCAGCCACACUGGAACUGAGACACGGUCCAGACUCCUACGGGAGGCAGCAGUGGGGAAUAUUGCACAAUGGGCGCAAGCCUGAUGCAGCCAUGCCGCGUGUAUGAAGAAGGCCUUCGGGUUGUAAAGUACUUUCAGCGGGGAGGAAGGUGUUGUGGUUAAUAACCGCAGCAAUUGACGUUACCCGCAGAAGAAGCACCGGCUAACUCCGUGCCAGCAGCCGCGGUAAUACGGAGGGUGCAAGCGUUAAUCGGAAUUACUGGGCGUAAAGCGCACGCAGGCGGUCUGUCAAGUCGGAUGUGAAAUCCCCGGGCUCAACCUGGGAACUGCAUUCGAAACUGGCAGGCUUGAGUCUUGUAGAGGGGGGUAGAAUUCCAGGNNNNNNNNNNNNNNNNNNNNAGAAUUCCAGGUGUAGCGGUGAAAUGCGUAGAGAUCUGGAGGAAUACCGGUGGCGAAGGCGGCCCCCUGGACAAAGACUGACGCUCAGGUGCGAAAGCGUGGGGAGCAAACAGGAUUAGAUACCCUGGUAGUCCACGCCGUAAACGAUGUCUACUUGGAGGUUGUGCCCUUGAGGCGUGGCUUCCGGAGCUAACGCGUUAAGUAGACCGCCUGGGGAGUACGGCCGCAAGGUUAAAACUCAAAUGAAUUGACGGGGGCCCGCACAAGCGGUGGAGCAUGUGGUUUAAUUCGAUGCAACGCGAAGAACCUUACCUGGUCUUGACAUCCACGGAAGUUUUCAGAGAUGAGAAUGUGCCUUCGGGAACCGUGAGACAGGUGCUGCAUGGCUGUCGUCAGCUCGUGUUGUGAAAUGUUGGGUUAAGUCCCGCAACGAGCGCAACCCUUAUCCUUUGUUGCCAGCGGUCCGGCCGGGAACUCAAAGGAGACUGCCAGUGAUAAACUGGAGGAAGGUGGGGAUGACGUCAAGUCAUCAUGGCCCUUACGACCAGGGCUACACACGUGCUACAAUGGCGCAUACAAAGAGAAGCGACCUCGCGAGAGCAAGCGGACCUCAUAAAGUGCGUCGUAGUCCGGAUUGGAGUCUGCAACUCGACUCCAUGAAGUCGGAAUCGCUAGUAAUCGUGGAUCAGAAUGCCACGGUGAAUACGUUCCCGGGCCUUGUACACACCGCCCGUCACACCAUGGGAGUGGGUUGCAAAAGAAGUAGGUAGCUUAACCUUCGGGAGGGCGCUUACCACUUUGUGAUUCAUGACUGGGGUGAAGUCGUAACAAGGUAACCGUAGGGGAACCUGCGGUUGGAUCACCUCCUUACCUUAAAGAAGCGUACUUUGCAGUGCUCACACAGAUUGUCUGAUGAAAA
rnacentral:rRNA from 1 species